CCCUCCAAGAAGUGGCUCCUGACACCCUAUGUACGACCUCAGCCGGGCCCACAGUCCGCCUAUAAUAGAGCACACAAAAGGACAAGGAGCACAGUGGAGAGGGGGAUUGGCCAGUGGAAGCGGAGAUUUCAUGUGCUCCAUGGUGAAAUCAGAGUCAGCCCUCCUGCAUAUGUGUGUAGAAUAAUACAGGUGUGUGCUAUUUUGCACAACAUCUGCAAAGACAGACGCCUCCCUGUACCCGAGGAAGGAGAGGACGAGGGUGAUGGUGCAGGUUUCCAUGAGGACCCACCUGUCCCACUACCACCUGUACCUGGACGAGUUCGGGAAGGUCUGCUCUACAGGGAUGAGUUUGUCAACCUUCACUUCAUUGACAGACCUCAACCUCAGCCUCGUGCAGCUGUGUGAUGCUUCCCGACCCAUCAACAGGUUAAUUCCACACCUACUUCCAACUCUGCAGCCUGCAGUUCAAGUUCCCUCUUCAGGCGGAUGAACUGCAGCUCCUCCUCAUCCACCAACAUGGUGCAGGUCCCAACUGGUGUACUGGAGGAAGCUGCAGCGGCAGGAACUACUGGUGGUGGUGUGGUGGUGGUUUGAGGUGUGUCUGUGCUGGGUUGGGGAGGGACAGGUGGUGUGACAUCC